AGCGAACGCUGGCGGCAGGCUUAACACAUGCAAGUCGAGCGGGCACUUCGGUGUCAGCGGCAGACGGGUGAGUAACACGUGGGAACGUACCCUUUGGUUCGGAAUAACGCUGGGAAACUAGCGCUAAUACCGGAUACGCCCUUUCGGGGAAAGGCUUGCUGCUGAAGGAUCGGCGCUCGUCAGAUUAGUUAGUUGGUGGGGUAAUGGCCUGCCAAGGCGAGGUUCAGUAGCUGGUCGGAUAGGAUGGUCAACCAGACUGGGACUGAGACACGGCCCAGACCCGGACGGAGAGCAGGAGUAGGGAAUAUUGGACGAUGGGCGCAAGCCUGAUCCAGCCAUGCCGGGUGAGUGAUGAAGGCCUUAGGGUUGUAAAGCUCUUUUGGCCGGGACGAUAAUGACGGUACCGGAAGAAUAAGCCCCGGCUAACUUCGUG
rnacentral:rRNA from 1 species